rnacentral:rRNA from 1 species
AAAUUGAAGAGUUUGAUCAUGGCUCAGAUUGAACGCUGGCGGCAGGCCUAACACAUGCAAGUCGAACGGUAACAGGAAACAGCUUGCUGUUUCGCUGACGAGUGGCGGACGGGUGAGUAAUGUCUGGGAAACUGCCUGAUGGAGGGGGAUAACUACUGGAAACGGUAGCUAAUACCGCAUAACGU